rnacentral:rRNA from 1 species
AUACGUAGGGUGCAAGCGUUAAUCGGAAUUACUGGGCGUAAAGCGUGCGCAGGCGGUUUUUUAAGUCAGUGGUGAAAUCCCCGGGCUCAACCCGGGAACUUCCAUUGAUACUGCAAAGCUGGAGUGCGGCAGAGGGGGAUGGAAUUUUCGGGGUAGAGGUGAAAUGCGUAGAUAUGCGGAGGAACACCGAUGGCGAAGGCAAUCCCCUGGGCCUGCACUGACGCUCAUGCACGAAAGCGUGGGGAGCAAACAGGAUUAGAUACCCUGGUAGUCCACGCCCUAAACGAUGUCAACUGGUUGUUGGGGAUUUAUUUUCUCAGUAACGAAGCUAACGCGUGAAGUUGACCGCCUGUGGAGUACGGCCGCAAGGUUAAAACUCAAAUGAAUUGACGGGG